UUGUUUAUUAUGCAUCACCCGAAAACGCCCUCCACGCCAACACUUGAGGACAAAAAAUUAAAAGUUUCUGCAUUCAAGGAAAAGACAGUUCCUAUUUUAAGUACCAGCAGCUGUAUGAAAUAAUCCUUCUUGGUUGCCAGGACUUCUUCCUGAACUAAGGGAGAAAAAAUGUAUGGUGGAUGGUUCAAAACCCCUUCCUGCUUCCCUUCAGAAUGAGUUCAUU